ACUGUUGCAUCCUUUGAAGCAGAGGGGGGAAUGCUACGUACCAGUUUGGAAUCUCGGUUCUCACCAGCAGAUACAGCAAGACUGAAAGGAGAUCAUCUGCACACAUUGUGUCCAUGUUAACUGGAGGUGGGGAAAGUGGAAGGCACAGAAGUUAGAAAGCGAUGUUUCCUGCUUUCACAGACAGACAUUCAGCUGGUUCUUCUAACGACAGUAAACUAGUGUGCCAACAAGGAGGAAGCUUUCACUUUGCAGUUCCAUGCUAGAUAUGAACGAUGCCACUGAUCUGAGGUGUCACCACUGAAGUUGCCACAGCAUGCCGAUACUUACUUCCACAGCUUGUUUCAUCAGAUUCAUCUGGGGUUCCUGCUUUGCAAGCAUCCUCUGUUUAAGAAAAAAGGUAGCAUUAAUACACAAGCCAAGGAGAAGGCAGCAACUCAUCAGGAAUCGAUCAGUGUGGUACUCACAAGAGAAUGAGCUAUACAAAGGAUGCUGAAGCUCUCUUCUUUCUCGUUGUAGAAAGUUUCCUCAAAGAGAACAGGUACUGAGCAAUGAUGAUUAAAGCCGGCCCCAAGUAUGAUCAAGUUGCCUUGUAUGAAAAUUUCCUAAGAGAAGAGAGAGAGAGAGAAACAUGAAGAGUACAACCAUUUAAUAAGUGGAUAUGUAGCUUCACGUAGGUAGAGUGGGUGGCUUCAAGAGCCAUGCAAAACCUUUGUUAACACGGAGUUCCACAUGACAUCCCUCAGCC